UACGAGGGGAGCAAGCGUUGUUCGGAUUUACUGGGCGUAAAGGGCGCGUAGGCGGCCACGACAAGUCACUUGUGAAAUCUCCGGGCUUAACUCGGAACGGUCAAGUGAUACUGUCGGGCUAGAGUACAGAAGGGGCAACUGGAAUUCUCGGUGUAGCGGUGAAAUGCGUAGAUAUCGAGAGGAACACCUGCGGCGAAGGCGGGUUGCUGGGCUGAUACUGACGCUGAGGAGCGAAAGCGUGGGGAGCGAACAGG
rnacentral:rRNA from 1 species